UAAAAACCCAGUCAGAUCUCUUUCUCACACACAAACAUCACAACUUUUUAUCAAGAUCCCUUCUCUCUAACCCCUCCUAAACAUGGCCACCACCACCAUCGAUUGAGAAGAAGAUAGGGCGGCUGGGAAUCAACUGCUACUACUUUACCAGAGAAGAUCUUUCAAUCAUCUACACCACCGCAGAUCUAGCUGGGCAGUGUUUAUGCUGGUGACAGCGAUGUUAAACCCUAGCCACCCUUACCCCUCUAGAUUCGAGAGAGAGAGAAAUUCCAUAGAGAGAGAGAGAGAGAGAGCUGCGAGAUGAUGUUGGUGGUAGUUGUUCUUGAAUCUGAGCAAAGGGGCGGCGACGGAGUUAGGGGCGGCAGGGGCGGCGGAGUUUAAGGUGUUGACAGCGGUGUUAGGGUGGUGGAUGAGUUGAUGUUGGUGGUAUGUUUAUGAGAAGCUUGUUCAAAAGGGGAAAAGACUUGGUUUCUUCCGCUUGCUGGCAACACAGCUGUAUGGCAAGGUUUAUAUCCAGGUUGAUUUAAGUUCUUCAAUUUUUAGUGGUUGUAUAGAUCUAAAACAAAUGAUGAGAUGAUGUUGUUGGUGGUGGUGGUGGUUGUUAUGAAGAUGAAAUUCAAAGAUAAGGUUUGAAGAUGGUGUUUAAGAUCGAAUUUAUGAUGAUGUUCAUGUUUCAUAAUUUAUAUUCUUUAUUUUGAAGAUAUCAUAUUCAUAUUUUAUUGCAGAUGUUUAUUGUUUGAAGAUGUUCAUAUUGUUCAUUUGAAGAUAUUUUUUUCUGGGUUUUGAUGAUGU
rnacentral:lncRNA from 1 species